GGGAAACUGCCUGAUGGAGGGGGAUAACUACUGGAAACGGUAGCUAAUACCGCAUAACGUCGCAAGACCAAAGAGGGGGACCUUCGGGCCUCUUGCCAUCAGAUGUGCCCAGAUGGGAUUAGCUAGUAGGUGGGGUAACGGCUCACCUAGGCGACGAUCCUUAGCUGGUCUGAGAGGAUGACCAGCCACACUGGAACUGAGACACGGUCCAGACUCCUACGGGAGGCAGCAGUGGGGAAUAUUGCACAAUGGGCGCAAGCCUGAUGCAGCCAUGCCGCGUGUAUGAAGAAGGCCUUCGGGUUGUAAAGUACUUUCAGCGGGGAGGAAGGUGUUGCGGUUAAUAACCGCAGCAAUUGACGUUACCCGCAGAAGAAGCACCGGCUAACUCCGUGCCAGCAGCCGCGGUAAUACGGAGGGUGCAAGCGUUAAUCGGAAUUACUGGGCGUAAAGCGCACGCAGGCGGUCUGUCAAGUCGGGUGUGAAAUCCCCGGGCUCAACCUGGGAACUGCAUUCGAAACUGGCAGGCUAGAGUCUUGUAGAGGGGGGUAGAAUUCCAGGU
rnacentral:rRNA from 1 species